rnacentral:rRNA from 1 species
UACGAAGGGGGCUAGCGUUGCUCGGAAUCACUGGGCGUAAAGCGCACGUAGGCGGACUCUUAAGUCAGUGGUGAAAGCCCGGAGCUCAACUCCGGAACUGCCAUUGAAACUGUUUAGCUUGAGGAUGAGAGAGGUGAGUGGAAUUCCCAGUGUAGAGGUGAAAUUCGUAGAUAUUGGGAAGAACACCGGUGGCGAAGGCGGCUCACUGGCUCAUUACUGACGCUCAGGCGCGAUAGCGUGGGGAUCAAACAGG